rnacentral:rRNA from 1 species
GAUGAACGCUGGCGGCGUGCCUAAUACAUGCAAGUCGAGCGAACAGACGAGGAGCUUGCUCCUCUGACGUUAGCGGCGGACGGGUGAGUAACACGUGGAUAACCUACCUAUAAGACUGGGAUAACUUCGGGAAACCGGAGCUAAUACCGGAUAAUAUAUUGAACCGCAUGGUUCAAUAGUGAAAGACGGUUUUGCUGUCACUUAUCGAUGGAUCCGCGCCGCAUUAGCUAGUUGGUAAGGUAACGGCUUACCACGGCGACGAUGCGUAGCCGACCUGAGAGGGUGAUCGGCCACACGGGAACUGAGACACGGUCCAGACUCCUACGGGAGGCAGCAGUAGGGAAUCUUCCGCAAUGGGCGAAAGCCUGACGGAGCAACGCCGCGUGAGUGAUGAAGGUCUUCGGAUCGUAAAACUCUGUUAUUAGGGAAGAACAAAUGUGUAAUUAACUAUGCACGUCGUGACGGUACCUAAUCAGAAAGCCACGGCUAACUACGUG